UUGAGAAAGGGAGGUGCUCUAACUGUUAGCACCCUCUUCACCUCGUCCAUUUUUUUUUCAUACAUUCUUAAAAAAGUAAUUUAUCUAGACUUAAAUUAUAAGCUCUAUGUCUAUCUUUCAAAAUGUCAACUUGGAUAUGGAUUUUUUCCGGCUAAAAAUGGUCCUUAGCUUUUCUCGGGAUCGGUUUUGUUUUUAUCGGAUGAAACUGUACGUCAUGUUUGACGUCACCAGCUGUAACAGAAAUUGAAAACACGGUGAAGAAGGAUUUAUCAAGUCUCUGUUAAAAUUGGAACCCGGUAUCACAUCUGACUCGCACUUCUGAAAUGGAUCAAAUCGGACUUUGUCGUCGAGACUCGGAAGAACCCAGCUGCCUAAAUUAUAAUGCCAGUGGAACACAAAACAGAAAAGAUACUUGUAUGCAAGACAUGGAGAAAAGAG